rnacentral:rRNA from 1 species
AUUGAACGCUGGCGGCAGGCCUAACACAUGCAAGUCGAGCGGAUGAGUGGAGCUUGCUCCAUGAUUCAGCGGCGGACGGGUGAGUAAUGCCUAGGAAUCUGCCUGGUAGUGGGGGACAACGUUUCGAAAGGAACGCUAAUACCGCAUACGUCCUACGGGAGAAAGCAGGGGACCUUCGGGCCUUGCGCUAUCAGAUGAGCCUAGGUCGGAUUAGCUAGUAGGUGAGGUAAUGGCUCACCUAGGCGACGAUCCGUAACUGGUCUGAGAGGAUGAUCAGUCACACUGGAACUGAGACACGGUCCAGACUCCUACGGGAGGCAGCAGUGGGGAAUUUUGGACAAUGGACGCAAGUCUGAUCCAGCCAUUCCGCGUGCAGGAUGAAGGCCCUCGGGUUGUAAACUGCUUUGUACGGACGAAAGGUUUCUAUUAAUACUAGGAGCUCAUGACGGUACCGUAAGAAUAAGCACCGGCUAACUACGUGCCA